AGAAUAAGAAUAUUGUGCAAACACAUGAUGAUUUUAUAGCAGGAAAGAAAGCCAAGGAAGUGAGGAUAAUAAAAAAGCACUCUUAUUUUUGGUGAAGCAUGUUUUGUUUCCCUCUGCUUGCCUGUACUGAAGUGGUCAAGGCUGCCUCUACUGUGUCCCCUGCUGGGGCCUGUUGAAGCUUCUGCAAGUUGCUUGGGUUGUGGCUCUGGUGCUUACCUGAAAGUCUGCAUGGGCUCCCAUGUGAGUGCCACAGUCUGUCUUAAAUAUGAGAAGCAAGUGUUUCUGGAAGUGUUACUCUGAGGGAACAGCUGAAACAGGUUCUCUUGACUAUGGUGAUACAAUACCAUUUUGGGACAUUUGGAGGAUGUGCUACCUGCCACCCAGCCUCUUUGGAAAAAUGGCCAUGUGUCUUCACAGAUCAGGGCUGAUCUGCACCUAGCCAGCAAGAGCUGCUCAUUCACCCCUGCUGUGGACGCUUGAAGGAGCUGCGGGGUGUGACAGGCCAGUGUGCUGAGGUCUUGCCACCUUUUCCCGGGGAAAUUGGAGCAGGUCUGGUAUCCUCAUCUGUAUAACUGGUAUAACAGGAGUGUUCUGCCUCCAAAACAAGAGGAAAACGAAUGCAGUUAAGAUGGCAAUGUAACUUGUGAGCAAUUCAGUGGCAGCAAGCCAAUCCUUGGCUGGGCAGACACCUCUCUGGAUCAAUGUGCUAUGCUGCUUGACCUCUGGACCUGUCAAACUGCUCUUCUGGGGAAAUAAAAUCAGGCUUACAGAGGCUUUCAUUUCCCCUCAGCAGGACAAAUGGGGACCCCAAGAUAGGAUGCUGAACCCUUUCACUCAAAAGAGAGAAGCACUGGGCAGCAAGCUGCAAAGCCCUAUGCAGUGGGAUGUUCUUCUUUUCUCUCUGAAGAAGGAAGGUGCCACAUCAUAGAAGAGUGGCUAAGUGUUGGGACUCCUCUGCAAACAUGGCUACAGAGAAGUCACCCUUAGUGUCCUGCAGUGAGGUGGAGAAGAACAGCACCUAUGACAGGCAGCUCAGUACUUGACUGCCAAAAUCAGGGUAGAUGACGCACAUCUGGACAGUGUAUGUGCUUCUGCCCUGGGAGGAAACCCUUCUCACCCUGCUGGUAUCGUUUACGGGUUGUGAUGUAAAGCAGAGGAAACGGGGAGUGUGAAUACCAAUCUCACCCUGGAAAGGAUCUGGUUUCCUCAGGUGCCAGUCCCAUCCCCAACAAGUUGAAAUUCCUACUAUACUUGAUGCCUGACUGCUGCAUGGAACUGUGGAAGGAUCACUUCUCUGUGAAUGGCUAACAGCUGAGAUAGUCUGCUGAGAUCCAGUAGAUUCUGGAAGCUGCAGUAAUUUUCUGUAUGUCUUGAAGUUCAGUCCCUGCAAUCUCAACAAGAGUAAGUAUAUCAGAUGCCAGGACAAAAGGAAAGCUGUGCAGAGAAACUUUUUACUCCUGUGUUGUAUGUAAGCAGCAUCAAAUCUACAGAUAUGUAAAGAGGGGCAUUUCCUGGUGACAGAAAAACAGUCCAGACAUGCAGCACUCACAAACACAGAGAAGAUGGUAUGCAUAAAAUGCCAUGUUUUGAAAUUCCAGCUCAUUAUACUGUGAGAAUACUCCAAGGGCUGAAAAGCAAAAUGCCAGAAGAGCACUUCAGUAGUUGGGACAGGAUUAUCUGAUGUGACCUUGGUUGCCUAAUUAUCAUAUAUCAAGUUUACUUGGGCUCCUGCAAUCUCAGGCACCUCCAAAGGCACUUUCAUCUCACUCACAAUAAACACAUUCUAGCUGGAGUUGUCUAGCUGUAAGAGUGUCCUGCAAAGGUGUCCAGUGAAAGAAGAGGUAUCAAACCAGUGGUGGGAUCCCAGUAGUUACACAGCACCUCCCUGCUAACUGCUAAAGGAAAAGCAGGCAAAUCCCACUCCUGCAGUAGUUUGACUUGAACAACAAGCCAAAGCUCUUAGGAAAACCAGCACUAUCUGUCUCCAUGCAGGAUGACACACCUCAGCUGUCUCACCCUGUGGAAAGGAAAGGAAAUGACACAUUUACUACAGCAACCUCAGCCUGCCAUUUCCAAUCUUCUGGUAAAGACAUAGUCAUCAUAGGCUGACCACAUGGUUUAACAGGUACUUCCUCAAAGUGGAAGAACAAUUUUUGGACCAUGUCUUCUAUUCCCUGCAGAAGCAGGCCACCCAGGCCUGGUGGGUGCAUUGCUUUUCUGUGAGAUCGUGACAGAUCUGUGAUGCUGUGAACAUGCUCUGGAAAUGCAACAGCCUUCCACAAGUAAAAUGCAGAAGGAAAAAGAAAAGAAAAAGAAUGAAAUUUGAUCUUGACUUUAUUCUUCACCUGAUAUCAUUCUCGCCCUUUUUCCUCUUUCUCACUAUCAGCUUUUUACACUCUUUUGAACCACUGCUUAAGCACUCAGUAUCGGUCACUUUUCAAUCCUCUUGGUCACUCCCCACUCUGGGAUCAGAGGCUCUGGAUUUAAGACACAAAAGCAGUUCGGGGAAUUUCCUAAUUGAGCAAAAGCCAGGAUAAAUGAAAACACAUGGUAAAAUGCAUCCACCGUUCCUCAGCUUAGGUGGGGAACUCUGAGAGAGCCUGCAGGCACAAGACAAAGGCACAAAUAAAAUCUUUCAGAUGACUGUCCCCAAGUAAACACACCAAAGUAGAAAAUGUUUUUGCU